ACUCACAUGAUUGAUGCGUCAAAUGUACAGGUAUGACUAAUGCAUCUAGCAUUUAUAAAGACCUUGCAUCGACUUAAUUCCUAGACAAUUUCUUCUCGCCUGUGCAUAAGCCCUUGUGGCUUCAUGUCUGGCUGGUGGGUUUGUGAUUGUGGUGUAAACAGGAAGAUGAGAUACAGAACUAAACAGGAAACCUAGUGUACUAGAGAUACACGUGACAGCAGAAGGUAGUGUGUUUGUUGACAGGCGUAUACAGUGCGACAUACUGCUGCUCAAAGUGAUUCAGGGCAUGGAGUUCAUUUCGACAGAAUUAGGCUUGUAUUGGAAAUACGCUUCAUCUGAAGUGCAAGACAGAAAUCGGGACUCAUCAGACCAGGCAACAUUUUUCCAGUCUUCAACUGUCCAAUUUUGACUCACAAACAAGAAAUGUGAAGAAAAAAUUUUCCCCCUAUUGUGACCUCAUAAGAAGAGACCCUCUACUGACUUUUUGCUUAUCUCUGGAUAUCAUUGGCAAAGACUAAAACUGUAUGUUUGAAAGAGGAUUGAGAGUUUGAAAGAG